AGAGUUUGAUCCUGGCUCAGAACGAACGCUGGCGGCAGGCUUAACACAUGCAAGUCGAACGCAUCCUUCGGGGUGAGUGGCAGACGGGUGAGUAACGCGUGGGAACGUGCCCUUCAGUUCGAAAUAACCCAGGGAAACUUGGGCUAAUACCGGAUACGUGCGAGAGCAGAAAGAUUUAUCGCUGAAGGAUCGGCCCGCGUCUGAUUAGCUAGUUGGUGAGGUAAUGGCUCACCAAGGCGACGAUCAGUAGCUGGUCUGAGAGGAUGAUCAGCCACAUUGGGACUGAGACACGGCCCAAACUCCUACGGGAGGCAGCAGUGGGGAAUAUUGGACAAUGGGCGCAAGCCUGAUCCAGCCAUGCCGCGUGAGUGAUGAAGGCCUUAGGGUUGUAAAGCUCUUUCGUCCGGGACGAUAAUGACGGUACCGGAAGAAGAAGCCCCGGCUAACUUCGUGCCAGCAGCCGCGGUAAUACGAAGGGGGCUAGCGUUGUUCGGAAUCACUGGGCGUAAAGGGCGCGUAGGCGGCUUGAUAAGUCGGGGGUGAAAGCCUGUGGCUCAACCACAGAAUUGCCUUCGAUACUGUCUGGCUUGAGACCGGAAGAGGUAAGUGGAACUGCGAGUGUAGAGGUGAAAUUCGUAGAUAUUCGCAAGAACACCAGUGGCGAAGGCGGCUUACUGGUCCGGUUCUGACGCUGAGGCGCGAAAGCGUGGGGAGCAAACAGGAUUAGAUACCCNNGUAGUCC
rnacentral:rRNA from 1 species